rnacentral:lncRNA from 1 species
CUGUAGUAUCAGUUGCAAUUUUAAUAAACACACUGUCUAAUGCUUUUUUCUAGAUCAUUAAUGAAGAUGGUAAAUAAAACUGGAGUUAACACCAGUUUCUAGUAAUAACCCUACUGGAUGCCUCCCCACAAGCUGACAGUUUUGUCGCUGAUCACUAUUCAUCACCCAGCCCGAACGUCAGUGUCCCCGUGUGAGAGAUCAGAGCACACCACUGCCGAGGGCAGUCAAAUACCCAGGACAUGGACUGUCUACUGUGAUGACUUUUGAGGGAGAACACGGCUUUGUGCAAAGACCCUUACACUGCAAGCACCAGAGACAGUGGAAGGGACACCCUCCAGCACCUCUGGGAGACUCUGCAGACCCUUCAUCACCAAGGCUUUGUCAGGAGGAGGCUGCCUGCCGUUUCUAUAUUGUCUCACAUGGUCAUGGAGCACUGCAGGUAAUGGAAACCUUUAGUUUUCAUUGAUUAUUCACAGCGCAGUUUGCUUUGCUAGGCAUCCUCAUAGGCCACAAACCCUGCAGCCUUCCAGCAUGGGUGAGGGGACACAUUUCCUUGACACAGACAAUUUGGCUUGAAAAUUAAUUUCCUUGGAGUGUUCCAGCUCUGCAGGUAAUGGACACUUCGGUGACUUUGACUUGGGUUCACUCUUUACCAACUGCUUGUGCCAGCUCUGGGCCUCCUGGAUUCCCCUAACCCAGCUGCUGCCCCUGAGAGGGUUUGUUAUCCCAUUUAUGCCAGGACCUUGCCUCCUUACAUCCAGACAUGAAUUCCAUUUGCUAAUCCUGAUCUCUGCCCUGCAGGGAGCUGACUCGGGUUCCUGACAGUGUGAGCUGGGACCUAGCAAGGCCAGCAAGCAAAUGUUGAAACUCAGACAUCUCUAUGUCACUUUAAAUUUUGGGGGGGAAAUCCUGAGAAGCUCUUUAUGGAGAUUGUAUUUUUGCAGCAGCCUGUUUCCUCUUUCCCUCUCCUUCUUUGCUUUCCCCACCUCUUUGUCUGCUAAAUAAAACAACCUACA